rnacentral:rRNA from 1 species
UUAAAUUGAAGAGUUUGAUCAUGGCUCAGAUUGAACGCUGGCGGCAGGCCUAACACAUGCAAGUCGAACGGUAACAGGAAGUAGCUUGCUGCUUCGCUGACGAGUGGCGGACGGGUGAGUAAUGUCUGGGAAACUGCCUGAUGGAGGGGG